rnacentral:rRNA from 1 species
GACGAACGCUGGCGGCAUGCCUAAUACAUGCAAGUCGAGCGAACAGAUGAAGUGCUUGCACUUCUGACGUUAGCGGCGAACGGGUGAGUAACACGUAAGGAAUCUACCUAUAAGCGGGGGAUAACAUUCGGAAACGGGUGCUAAUACCGCAUAAUAUCUUCUUCCGCAUGGAAGAAGAUUGAAAGACGGCUCUGCUGUCACUUAUAGAUGACCUUGCGGUGCAUUAGUUAGUUGGUGGGGUAAUGGCCUACCAAGACGAUGAUGCAUAGCCGACCUGAGAGGGUGCGCGGCCACACUGGGACUGAGACACGGCCCAAACUCCUACGGGAGGCAGCAGUAGGGAAUCUUCCGCAAUGGGCGAAAGCCUGACGGAGCAAUGCCGCGUGAGUGAAGAAGGCCUUCGGGUCGUAAAACUCUGUUAUAAGAGAAGAACAAAUUGUAGAGUAACUGCUACAGUCUUGACGGUAUCUUAUCAGAAAGCCACGGCUAACUACGUGCCAGCCGCCGCCGUAA